rnacentral:rRNA from 1 species
CCUACGGGAGGCUGCAGUGAGGAAUAUUGGUCAAUGGACGCAAGUCUGAACCAGCCAUGCCGCGUGCAGGAAGACGGCUCUAUGAGUUGUAAACUGCUUUUGUACGAGGGUAAACGCAGAUACGCGUAUCUGUCUGUAAGUAUCGUACGAAUAAGGAUCGGCUAACUCCGUGCCAGCAGCCGCGGUAAUACGGAGGAUUCGAGCGUUAUCCGGAUUUAUUGGGUUUAAAGGGUGCGUAGGUGGUCGGAUAAGUUAGAUGUGAAAUCGCGAGGCUCAACUUCGGAAUUGCCUCUGAUACUGGUAGGCUAGAGAGUAGUUGCGGUAGGCGGAAUGUAUGGUGUAGCGGUGAAAUGCUUAGAGAUCAUACAGAACACCGAUUGCGAAGGCAGCUUACCAAGCUACUACUGACGCUGAGGCACGAGAGCGUGGGGAGCAAACAGGAUUAGAUACCCGAGUAGUC